rnacentral:rRNA from 1 species
GAUGAACGCUGGCGGCGUGCCUAAUACAUGCAAGUCGAGCGAACGGACGAGAAGCUUGCUUCUCUGAUGUUAGCGGCGGACGGGUGAGUAACACGUGGAUAACCUACCUAUAAGACUGGGAUAACUUCGGGAAACCGGAGCUAACACCGGAUGAUAUUUUGAACCGCAUGGUUCAAAAGUGAAAGACGGUCUUGCUGUCACUUAUAGAUGGAUCCGCGCUGCAUUAGCUAGUUGGUAAGGUAACGGCUUACCAAGGCAACGAUGCAUAGCCGACCUGAGAGGGUGAUCGGCCACACUGGAACUGAGACACGGUCCAGACUCCUACGGGAGGCAGCAGUAGUGAAUCUUCCGCAAUGGGCGAAAGCCUUACGGAGCAACGCCGCGUGAGUGAUGAAGGUCUUCGGAUCGUAAAACUCUGUUAUUAGGGAAGAACAUAUGUGUAAGUAACUGUGCACAUCUUGACGGUACCUAAUCAGAAAGCCACGGCUAACUACGUG